UACGUAGCAGCAAGCGUUGUUCGGAAUUACUGGGCGUAAAGAGUGUGUAGGCGGUGCUCCAAGUCUGGUGUGAAAUCUCCCGGCUCAACUGGGAGGGUGCGCUAGAAACUGGAAUGCUAGAGGAUGGGAGAGGUAAGCGGAAUUCCUGGUGUAGCGGUGAAAUGCGUAGAUAUCAGGAGGAACACCUGUGGUGUAGACAGCUUACUGGACCAUUCUGACGCUGAGACACGAAAGCGUGGGUAGCAAACAGG
rnacentral:rRNA from 1 species